rnacentral:rRNA from 1 species
AUGGUGGCAGGAGCUACUAUGGCCGUGCUUCAGAGAGCAUCGACAGCCAGCACCGACUUUUUUGUGGGUUUGCUUCCGGUUCACGUCCUAAUGGUAGUGAUCCUGGUGUCCGGCAUGGCCAUGCUGUGGCGGGUUAGCCGGGCGCGGGACGUGUACCUCGUGGACUACGGCUGCUUCCUGGGCGAGCCACGUUACAGGAUCCCCUCGGCGAUGGCCCUGGAGCACGCACGCCUCAUGACCGACAUCAUCGAGGAGGAGAGCGCCGACUUCAUGGCUCGGCUGCAUGAGCGGUCCGGGAUCGGCGAGGAGACCAGCGUGCCCGACUCGUACCGCUAUAUGCCCCCCGAGCGCGGCGUGGAGGCUUCCCGGGAGGAAGCCGAGCUGGUCAUCUCCUCCGCCGUCGACAAGGUGUUCGCGAGGACCACGGUGAACCCCAAGGACAUCGACACGCUCAUCGUCGCCUGUAGCUUCACCACGCUGACGCCGGUGUUCGCUGACGUGGUCGUGAACAAGUACAGGCUCCGCGCGGACGUGCAGAGCGUGAACCUGUCCGGGAUGGGGUGCAGCGGGGCGCUCAUCUGCGUCGGCCUCGCCCAGAAACUCCUGCAGGCGGCGCCGCCAGGGAAGCACAAGCACGUGCUGAUCAUAGCCACCGAGAUCCUGUCGUCGAUGUUGUACAACGGCACCAAGCGCGAGAUGCUUGUGCCGAAUGUGCUGUUCCGCAUGGGCGCCGCCGCCAUGAUCAUGACCAACUCACCGGAACGCGCGCGGUUCCGGCUCGGUCCGAUCGUGCGCACGCUGACCGCCGGGCGGGACAGCGACUACCGGUGCGCAUUCCAGGAGGAGGACGACAAGGGGAUCACGGGCAUCAACCUCUCAAAGGAACUUCCCGUGGUUGCUGCGAACGCGCUCAAGAGUCACAUCGUGGCCUUCUGUCCCAGGGCCCUGCCUGCGUUGGAGCUUCUCCGGGUCGCCUUCUCCCUCGUCAAGCAAUACGUGUUCCCGCAGCCGAGAGCAACUGGGCGAGCGGAGAAGGGCGCGCGGCCGGCCUUCAACAAGGUGUUCCAGCACUUCUGCAUCCACCCGGGCGGGCGCAGGGUGCUCCACGAGAUGCAGCGUGGCCUCGGCCUCUCUGACCGUGACAUGGAGGCGUCGCACAUGACGCUGCACCGGUUCGGGAACAUGGCCAGCAGCUCGCUGCUGUACGAGCUGGCCUACAUCGAGGCCAAGGGCCGGAUGAGCAAGGGUGACCGGGUGUGUAUGAUCUCCUUCAGCCCCGGCAUAGACUGCAGCAGCGUCGUAUGGGAGUGCAUCAACCCGGCGGCGGCAGAUCCCAACGGACCCUGGGCCGCCUGCAUCCACCGCUACCCUGUGCACGCGCAGGCGCAGCAGCUUCCCCAAAUUGCCAAGAUGACCUAA